rnacentral:lncRNA from 1 species
GUUCGCAAGGCAGAAAUGAUGCUCGCGUCUGUACUGUGGACAGCUGUUCUAUUUACUCUUGUAAAAGCCACCAUCCUGGACAGCGGUCCAACUGAAGCACCAGACGUGGAGAGCGGCUCGGGGAUGCUGCUGACAGAUCUGAAAGCUUCAAUGGCUUCCCGCAUCCAGGCUGGAAAAAAAAAUCUCAGGCAUCCAAGGAAAACACCCGCCUCGAGUUAGGAGUAGUGCCUGUCUGCUGGCUGGCUCACAAGAGCAGGCUUGCUGCAGAUUUGGACAUAAUAGUGCUCUUGGCACUGUUUUGCCUGGAGGGAAACCUUAAAACUAUCAAGAUAUUGUAAUUUACCUUUAAAAAAAAUGGUGGGUAUCUGAGACUAGAAUAGCAGCCCCAACAUCGCUGCUUAUGUUCCGUACUGAAACAUAUGCCAGAUGAUGUCAUACUGUUCAUGGGUACUUAAACACACUCAUGUAUUGGACUAUUCAGCCGACAAUACAACCUGUUUCUACUGGCACACACUGGGGACCAUUGACCUGUGGGCACUAUGAAUGACAUCACCACAAACCAAUCUGGGAAAAUAAAUAACCCGUUGGAACAUAUGGGCCAAAUAUGGCACACACACAUUGCUGUUUAAAGAACCUUUGAUUAUAAUAUCUGUGCAGAACCAGUGGUGGAUUUAAUUAGCUUGCGUUAACUUAUAAGGUGAAUAUGUUAAUGGAAUGGUUUGGUUUGGCAUGCUGGUAUGCUGUAGUGUGUAGCGGACAGUAAUCUUUAGCCUUGACUGACACAAUGCUAAGUAUGAUGUUUGUAGUUGCCUCUAAUUAUGUUGAGAGAUUUUUUUUUUUAGAUUCACG